AAUUUUGUAGUUAAAGAUAAUAUUAAAUUGCAAAUUUAAAGUUAAUAAAAUAAAUUCAAAAUUU
rnacentral:tRNA from 1 species